rnacentral:rRNA from 1 species
GUAGGGAAUCUUCCGCAAUGGACGCAAGUCUGACGGAGCAACGCCGCGUGAGUGAAGAAGGCCUUCGGGUCGUAAAACUCUGUUAUCAGGGAAGAAUCCGUGCCGGAGUAACUGCCGGUGCGUUGACGGUACCUGACCAGAAAGCCACGGCUAACUACGUGCCAGCAGCCGCGGUAAUACGUAGGUGGCAAGCGUUGUCCGGAAUUAUUGGGCGUAAAGCGCGCGCAGGCGGCUUCUUAAGUCUGAUGUGAAAGCCCACGGCUCAACCGUGGAGGGUCAUUGGAAACUGGGAGGCUUGAGUGCAGAAGAGAAGAGCGGAAUUCCACGUGUAGCGGUGAAAUGCGUAGAGAUGUGGAGGAACACCAGUGGCGAAGGCGGCUCUUUGGUCUGUAACUGACGCUGAGGCGCGAAAGCGUGGGGAGCGAACAGGAUUAGAUACCCGAGUAGUCC